AUGGUUGGAUGAAAAAUUUACUUUCUUUAUCUUAUAAACAAAAAUUAAUUUCUAAAUUAAAAAGUUUAGGUUUAUUUAAAGGACGAGAAGACCCUAUAGAACUUUAUUAAUUUAAAAUAAAAUAUAUUUUGUUUAUAAUUAUUAUUUAUUUAAAGAUUAAUUUUGUUGGGGUGACAAAAAAAAAUUAAUAACUUUUUUUCCUUUUUUCAUUUUUUUAUGAUAUUAUUGAUCCUUAAUUUAGGAAAAAAGAUUAAGUUACCUUAGGGAUAACAGCGUUAUUAUUCUAAAGAGUUCUUAUCGAUAGAAUAGUUUGCGACCUCGAUGUUGGAUUAAAAUAAGUUUUAGGGGCAAAAUAUUAAAAUACUAGGUC
rnacentral:rRNA from 1 species